rnacentral:rRNA from 1 species
GACGAACGCUGGCGGCGUGCCUAAUACAUGCAAGUAGAACGCUGAAGGAAGGAGCUUGCUCUUUCUGGCUGAGUUGCGAACGGGUGAGUAACGCGUAGGUAACCUGCCUGGUAGCGGGGGAUAACUAUUGGAAACGAUAGCUAAUACCGCAUAAAAUUGAUUAUUGCAUGAUAGUCAAUUAAAAGGUGCAACUGCACCACUACCAGAUGGACCUGCGUUGUAUUAGCUAGUUGGUGGGGUAACGGCUCACCAAGGCGACGAUACAUAGCCGACCUGAGAGGGUGAUCGGCCACACUGGGACUGAGACACGGCCCAGACUCCUACGGGAGGCAGCAGUAGGGAAUCUUCGGCAAUGGACGGAAGUCUGAACGAGCAACGCCGCGUGAGUGAAGAAGGUUUUCGGAUCGUAAAGCUCUGUUGUAAGAGAAGAACGAGUGUGAGAGUGGAAAGUUCACACUGUGACGGUAUCUUACCAGAAAGGGACGGCUAACUACGUG